UACGUAGGGUGCAAGCGUUGUCCGGAAUUAUUGGGCGUAAAGAGCUCGUAGGCGGUUUGUCGCGUCUGCUGUGAAAACUCGGGGCUCAACCCCGAACUUGCAGUGGGUACGGGCAGACUAGAGUGAUGUAGGGGAGACUGGAAUUCCUGGUGUAGCGGUGAAAUGCGCAGAUAUCAGGAGGAACACCGAUGGCGAAGGCAGGUCUCUGGGCAUUAACUGACGCUGAGGAGCGAAAGCAUGGGGAGCGAACAGG
rnacentral:rRNA from 1 species